GUGGGGAAUAUUGGACAAUGGGCGAAAGCCUGAUCCAGCCAUGCCGCAUGUGUGAAGAAGGUCUUCGGAUUGUAAAGCACUUUAAGUUGGGAGGAAGGGCAGUAAGUUAAUACCUUGCUGUUUUGACGUUACCGACAGAAUAAGCACCGGCUAACUUCGUGCCAGCAGCCGCGGUAAUACGAAGGGUGCAAGCGUUAAUCGGAAUUACUGGGCGUAAAGCGCGCGUAGGUGGUUUUGUAAGUUGGAGGUGAAAUCCCCGGGCUCAACCUGGGAACUGCCUCCAAAACUGCAUGACUAGAGUACGGUAGAGGGUAGUGGAAUUUCCUGUGUAGCGGUGAAAUGCGUAGAUAUAGGAAGGAACACCAGUGGCGAAGGCGACUACCUGGACUGAUACUGACACUGAGGUGCGAAAGCGUGGGGAGCAAACAGGAUUAGAUACCCCUGUAGUCC
rnacentral:rRNA from 1 species